rnacentral:rRNA from 1 species
UACGUAGGGUGCAAGCGUUAAUCGGAAUUACUGGGCGUAAAGCGUGCGCAGGCGGUUUUGUAAGUCUGUUGUGAAAUCCCCGGGCUUAACCUGGGAACUGCGUUUGAAACUGGAAGGCUUGAGUGUGGCAGAGGGGGGUGGAAUUCCACGUGUAGCAGUGAAAUGCGUAGAUAUGUGGAGGAACACCGAUGGCGAAGGCAGCCCCCUGGGCUAACACUGACGCUCAUGCACGAAAGCGUGGGGAGCAAACAGG